UUCGGAGUGUAAACCACUGUCGGGAGGGGCGAAUACUUGGGCCUCGUAAGGGGAUCCAGGGGUGACGGUACCUCCAAAGGAAGCACCGGCUAACUCCGUGCCAGCAGCCGCGGUAAUACGGAGGGUGCGAGCGUUGUCCGGAAUCACUGGGCGUAAAGGGCGCGUAGGCGGUUUGGUAAGUCACGUGUGAAAUCCCGGCGCUCAACGCCGGGGCUGCAUGUGAGACUGUCAGACUAGAGCUCGGUAGAGGCAAGUGGAAUUCCCGGUGUAGCGGUGGAAUGCGUAGAUAUCGGGAAGAACACCGGUGGCGAAGGCGGCUUGCUGGGCCGAUGCUGACGCUGAGGCGCGAAAGCGUGGGGAGCAAACAGGAUUAGAUACCCUGGUAGUCCACGCUGUAAACGAUGGGUACUAGGCGUCGGGGGGAGCGACCCCCUCGGUGCCGUCGCUAACGCAGUAAGUACCCCGCCUGGGGAGUACGGCCGCAAGGCUGAAACUCAAAUGAAUUGACGGA
rnacentral:rRNA from 1 species